rnacentral:lncRNA from 1 species
GUAGGACGGAAUAUAACUUAACCCCAAGGCUGAGGACAAGGGCUGAAGUGGCAGAUUUUGGACAUAUAUUGACUAUUGCAUAAUGGGAGAAAACGGCUGUGACCAGAUCUGUGCUUUAUUUUCUGCUCUCUGCACUAGAAGGUCUGAUAACAGUGUGUGUGGUUUAUGCCCGAGUGCAGCUGACUCAGGCAGCGGCAGACUUUGAGUCAGUGUUUAAAGCUUAGGUAUCAUGCCGGAUUUCCUGCACAUUUUCGUGAAGACCAUCUAGAAGCCCAUGCCUGCUUAUAACUGGCGAGAUGGGAUUAUGGCUUGUCAAGCAGCAGAACACACCCAGUGUCUCCUCUCCUACAGAGCGUCUGCUGCUAUGGACAUGUGCUGCCCUGGGAAAAGUCCACUGAAGGUGGAUGAUGCAGAUGAAAAGGCUACUUCACUUUUGGAAGCUGCCUAAUUCACUUCCAGGAGCAAACUUUUUGAUCGGUAGGAUAUGACUCAGUAAUGCUGAUUGAAUUGGCUUCUCACUGUAUUUGUCAAGGCUGGAACAGACGAUGGCACUGCAGAAUCUUAUGUGCACAGAAGAAAUCUACAGACAUUCAAUGAGGGGAGGAUUUCGUUCCAUCAGAUGGGCUUCCUGACAUAAUUGCAAAGACACAUGAAGACUCAACGAUUUAUCUCCCAUCAACCUCUUCUUAGUUAAUAUCAGCCCAUGUGCUCCAAGAAAACCAGAGGAAAUAUCAAGAAAGAAGAAAACAUGAGACCCUGAAAAUAAAAACCUCAACCCAGAAGGAGACCAUGAAAUAAUUCCAGUAUGUUUGCUUAAUUGUUGGGUAUUCCUGUGACAAAGAAGGCACUACUCAGCCAGCCAGAAUGCACUGACCACCACUGCAGGGUUUCAGUCACAUGAGACAUCUGGGUGAUAGAGGGAAGUGUGGGGAAUGGCUAUCAUUGAUGAGCCUGUAUGUUCUAAGUGAUCUGGGGACUAAGGCUUAUUUUUCUCCAGGCUUGUCUUAUGAAGAAGUUUUAGUCUAUUUGGAAUAGAUAAGGCUUAUACACAUAAAGUAACUGAUACUCAAUUAUAUGUAAUUAUGUUAGUUGGGGAUAAGGCUAAGCUGUGUUAUGUAGUGACUCAAAAAUGCGAUGACUCAAACAAGAUUGGAGCUUGUUUCUCUCCGGGAAUGAAUGAUCCCACACUCGGGGGCAGCUAGGCUGCUGGGAUCCAGGUUCCUUCACCUGUUGCUCUGUUAUGGUUGAAGCUGGCUUAUCCCAACCUCAUUCACAUUUCAGCCCACACAGCUAGGCAGAAGAGGGGUGAAAGUGGAGCAUGAGCAAUGCCUUUUCUUUUAUUUUUUUUAAAGUCAGUAUUAUUGCAUUAUAAUUUACAGAAAAUAAAAUACACCUAUUUUAAGUGUAUACUUUAAUGGGCUUUGGCAGAUUGCUUACACGCAUUGAACCACCACCCUAAUCAAGAUAAUGGCAUUUCCAUCAUCCCUAAACAUUUCCUCAUGCCCUUUGCAGUAAAUGCCAUCUACUCUUGGUCUAAGGUGGCUACUGAUUUGAUAUCUAUCACUACAGAUUAUUUUUGCCUGUUCUAGAAUAUCACAUAAAUGGAAUUAUAUGGCAGGUGCUUUCAGGCUGGGUGAUAUAAGUCAGGUGUCUAAGUUGUAAAUUUAAACAGACACUCACACUAAGUUUUAUGCCAGUGCUGACUCUACAAUGCACCCUGCGCCAUGCUGCAUUGUAUCUUGUUUCUUUUGCCCUGUGUAUUGUUUUUGAGAUUCAUUUAUUUUGUUAUGUGUAUCAGUGGUUCAUCAUUUUUUGUUGCUGUGUAGUAGUCUAUGUCACAAAUUCACUACAAUUUGUUUAUACGUUUGUCUACUGAUGGACGUUGUUUCCGGUUUUGGGCUUUUAUGAACAUAGCUGUCACAAACAGAUGUGUACAAGUAUUUUAGUGAACAUAUGUUUUCAUUUCUCUUGGGUAAAUACUCAGGAAUGGAAUUGCUGGAUCAUAUGGUAAGCGUGUCUUGGUAACUUCAGGAGACUGCUGAACAAUUUUUGAAAGUGAAUUUAAUACUCGAUAGUCUCAUUAGCAAUGUAUGAAAAUUCUAGUUGCUUUACAGCCUCACCAACACUAGUUAUCAUCAACGUGUUUAACUAGCUAUUCUAGUAACUAUGUUGUGAUAUCCAUUGUAGUUUUUUCCUUUUUUGUCCCCGUACCCUAAGCUCCUAUCCAUUGUAGUUUUAAUUUGCAUUGCCCUGAUGACUAGUAAUGUUAAGCAUCAUUAUAUGUGAUUAUAAGCUAUUGUAGUGUUUCGUAAAAUAUUUGUUAAAAUUUUUUGACUAUUAGAAAAAGUAGGUUGUCUUAUAUUAUUAUUGAGAUGAAAUCUUUUAAUAUUCUGAUUCAUGCUUUAUAUGACCUAAGAAAUCUUUGCAAAACUCAAAGUGUCAAAAGAUAUUCUUUUAUGUUUUCUUCUAAAAACAUAAUAAUUUUAGCUUUAAUUUAGAUCAGUUUUCCAUUUUGAGUUAAUUUUUAUAUAUGUUGAGAGAUAAGGGUUAAAGAGCAUUUUUUCCCCCUUGUAGAUAUCCAGUUGUUCUAGAACAAUUUGUUGAAAAGACUAUUUUUCCUCCAGUGAAUUACUGGCUCCUUCUUAAAAUAAAUUUUCCAUGUAUGCAUGGGUCUGUGUCUGUUCCAAUGGUCUAUAUGCCCACCUUUAUACCAAUACCAUACUAUCUUGAAUACUGUAGCAUUAUAAUCAUUCUUGAAACAAGUAGUAUAUGUCUCAAAUUUCAUUCUUUAUCAAAAUUAUUUUGGCUUCUCUGUAUUCCCAUAUGAUUUUUAGGAUCAGCUUGUCAGUUUUCAGAAAAAAAUGCUAGAAUUUAUAUUUCGAUUUGGUUAAAUGUACAGAUCAAUUGGCAGACAACUGACAUCUUAACAAUAGUAUGUCUUUUAUUCCAUGAAAAUGGUGCUUAUUACAAUCUUUAAUUUUUCUGAGCAAUGUUCUGUAGUUUUCAAUGUAUACGUCUUUGUUAAGUUUUGCUUUGUGUACUUCAUGUUUUUGCUGUUAUUUUAAAUGCAUUGUUGUAUAUGUUUGCAAUAGUUUUUUGCUCACAUAUAGAAAGGUAAUAAUUGUGUAUAUACUUUGCAUCCUGUGACCUUGCUUAAUUUAUUAAUUCUAAUAGCUAUUAAAAUAUCAUUUUAAGAGUUUUCUGUGUACAUAAUUAUGUCAUUUGUGAAUAAAGAUAGUUUACUUCUUCCUUUUGAAUCUAUAUGCCUUCUACUUAUUUUUCUUGCUUUAUUACAGUGGUUAGAACCUCCAGCGCAAUGUUGGGUAGGAGUGGUAACAGCAUUCUCCUUGCUUGUUCCCAAUCCUAGGGAAAAGCAUUCAGUCUUUCAUCCUUUGCAUGAUGUUGUCUGUAGAUCUUUUAUAGAUUCAAUUAAAGAACUCUUAGUUUGCUGAGAGUGUUUAUCACAAAUGGUUGUUGAAUUUUUAAAAUGCCUUUUAGCCAUUAUUAAGAUAAUUAUAUGAAUUUUCUUUUUUAUUCCGUUAAUGCUGUGAAUUACAAUGAUUGAUAUUCAAAUGUUGUAUUCCUGGGAUAUACCACCCAGCCCCUAGUCAUGAUAUAGUAUCCAUUUUACAUAUUAUGAGAUUCAAUUUGCUAACAUUUUAUAAACAAUAUUUUGUUAUAUGCUCACAAGGAUUAUUGUUCUAUAGUUUUCUUUUCUUGUAAUGUCUUUUUGGUAUCAGGGUUAUGCUGUCCUCAUAAGGUAAAUUGGCACAUUUCUUAAAGCAAUUUUGAAAGCUAGUAUUAUUUUUUCCUUAAAUAUUUUAUAGAAUUUUAUCAGUGAAGCUAUCUGGGCCUAAAAUUUUCUUUAUGGAGAGUUAAGAAUUUUUAUUAUAAAUUUAUUUUUAAAUAUAGAAUAGGGUUAUUUAUAUAUUCUUUUUCUUCUUAUGACUGCUUUGGUAGUUUAUAUCUUUUGAGAAAUUAGUCCAUUUCAUCCAAGUUGUUAAAUUUAUUGUCAUAAAAUUGCUCAUAAUACUGCCUUUUAGUAUUUGUAGUAUCUGUGGUCAUGUCUCUCAUUUCUAAUACUGGUAAUUUAUGUUCUUCUCUCUCUUUUAAAAUCUUUUAUCACUGUAGGUGGAAUUUUAUAACAUUUAUUGACAUUUUUCAAGGGCCAACUUUUGAUUUUAUUCACUGUUUG